rnacentral:tRNA from 1 species
GCAGGUAUGGUGCAACGGUUAACACGCGACCUUGCCAAGGUUGAGAUGGCGGUUCGAUUCCGCUUACUUGCUCCA